GCCUGGAUAGCUCGGUUGGUUAGAGCAUGAUGCUGAUAACACCAAGGUUUUAGGUUCGAUCCCCGGUGGACU